UCGAGCGGACAGAUGGGAGCUUGCUCCCUGAUGUUAGCGGCGGACGGGUGAGUAACACGUGGGUAACCUGCCUGUAAGACUGGGAUAACUCCGGGAAACCGGGGCUAAUACCGGAUGGUUGUUUGAACCGCAUGGUUCAAACAUAAAAGGUGGCUUCGGCUACCACUUACAGAUGGACCCGCGGCGCAUUAGCUAGUUGGUGAGGUAACGGCUCACCAAGGCAACGAUGCGUAGCCGACCUGAGAGGGUGAUCGGCCACACUGGGACUGAGACACGGCCCAGACUCCUACGGGAGGCAGCAGUAGGGAAUCUUCCGCAAUGGACGAAAGUCUGACGGAGCAACGCCGCGUGAGUGAUGAAGGUUUUCGGAUCGUAAAGCUCUGUUGUUAGGGAAGAACAAGUACCGUUCGAAUAGGGCGGUACCUUGACGGUACCUAACCAGAAAGCCACGGCUAACUACGUGCCAGCAGCCGCGGUAAUACGUAGGUGGCAAGCGUUGUCCGGAAUUAUUGGGCGUAAAGGGCUCGCAGGCGGUUUCUUAAGUCUGAUGUGAAAGCACCCGGCUCAACCGGGGAGGGUCAUUGGAAACUGGGGAACUUGAGUGCAGAAGAGGAGAGUGGAAUUCCAC
rnacentral:rRNA from 1 species